UAGGGAAUCUUCGGCAAUGGGGGCAACCCUGACCGAGCAACGCCGCGUGAGUGAAGAAGGUUUUCGGAUCGUAAAGCUCUGUUGUAAGAGAAGAACGUGUGUGAGAGUGGAAAGUUCACACAGUGACGGUAACUUACCAGAAAGGGACGGCUAACUACGUGCCAGCAGCCGCGGUAAUACGUAGGUCCCGAGCGUUGUCCGGAUUUAUUGGGCGUAAAGCGAGCGCAGGCGGUUUAAUAAGUCUGAAGUUAAAGGCAGUGGCUUAACCAUUGUUCGCUUUGGAAAAUGUUAAACUUGAGUGCAGAAGGGGAGAGUGGAAUUCCAUGUGUAGCGGUGAAAUGCGUAGAUAUAAGGAGGAACACCGGUGGCGAAAGCGGCUCUCUGGUAUGUAACUGACGCUGAGGCUCGAAAGAGUGGGGAGCAAACAGG
rnacentral:rRNA from 1 species